rnacentral:rRNA from 1 species
UGAGGAAUAUUGGUCAAUGGGCGCAAGCCUGAACCAGCCAAGUAGCGUGCAGGAAGACGGCCCUAUGGGUUGUAAACUGCUUUCAGUCGGGAAUAAUUCGUCGGUCGUGACCGGCGUUGCAGGUACCGUCAUAAGAAGGACCGGCUAAUUCCGUGCCAGCAGCCGCGGUAAUACGGAAGGUCCGGGCGUUAUCCGGAUUUAUUGGGUUUAAAGGGAGCGUAGGUGGACUGUCAAGUCAGUUGUGAAAUCCGCGGGCUCAACCUGCGGCCUGCAGUUGAAACUGGCGGUCUUGAGUCCGUUCAGGGAUGCUGGAAUUCAUGGUGUAGCGGUGAAAUGCGUAGAUAUUAGGAGGAACACCAGUGGCGAAGGCGGCUUACUGGACGAUUACUGACGCU